rnacentral:piRNA from 1 species
UGNGACUUUGAGUUUGCCCCUAGAAUUCU